rnacentral:rRNA from 1 species
UAAUACGGGGGGAGCAAGCGUUGUUCGGAUUUACUGGGCGUAAAGGGCGUCUAGGCGGGUUCGUAAGUCAUGUGUGAAAACCUCCGGCUUAACCGGGGGCCUGCACGUGAUACUGCAGAUCUUGAGUACGGAAGAGGAAAGCGGAAUUCCAGGUGUAGCGGUGAAAUGCGUAGAUAUCUGGAAGAACACCGGUGGCGAAGGCGGCUUUCUGGUCCGUAACUGACGCUGAAGCGCGAAAGUGUGGGGAGCAAACAGGAUUAGAUACCCUGGUAGUCCACACUGUAAACGAUGGAUGCUAGGUGUCGGGGGUAUCGACUCCUCCGGUGCCGCAGCUAACGCAUUAAGCAUCCCGCCUGGGGAGUACGGUCGCAAGGCUG